rnacentral:rRNA from 1 species
ACAGCACUCUGCAAACACGAAAGUGGACGUAUAGGGUGUGACGCCUGCCCGGUGCCGGAAGGUUAAUUGAUGGGGUUAGCUAACGCGAAGCUCUUGAUCGAAGCCCCGGUAAACGGCGGCCGUAACUAUAACGGUCCUAAGGUAGCGAAAUUCCUUGUCGGGUAAGUUCCGACCUGCACGAAUGGCGUAACGAUGGCGGCGCUGUCUCCACCCGAGACUCAGUGAAAUUGAAAUCGCUGUGAAGAUGCAGUGUAUCCGCGGCUAGACGGAAAGACCCCGUGAACCUUUACUAUAGCUUUGCACUGGACUUUGAAUUUGCUUGUGUAGGAUAGGUGGGAGGCUUUGAAGCGUGGACGCUAGUCUGCGUGGAGCCAAUCUUGAAAUACCACCCUGGCAACUUUGAGGUUCUAACUCUGGUCCGUUAUCCGGAUCGAGGACAGUGUAUGGUGGGUAGUUUGACUGGGGCGGUCUCCUCCUAAAGAGUAACGGAGGAGUACGAAGGUGCGCUCAGAGCGGUCGGAAAUCGGUCGUAGAGUAUAAAGGCAAAAGCGCGCUUAACUGCGAGACCCACAAGUCGAGCAGGUACGAAAGUAGGUCUUAGUGAUCCGGUGGUUCUGUAUGGAAGGGCCAUCGCUCAACGGAUAAAAGGUACUCCGGGGAUAACAGGCUGAUACCGCCCAAGAGUUCAUAUCGACGGCGGUGUUUGGCACCUCGAUGUCGGCUCAUCACAUCCUGGGGCUGAAGCCGGUCCCAAGGGUAUGGCUGUUCGCCAUUUAAAGUGGUACGCGAGCUGGGUUUAGAACGUCGUGAGACAGUUCGGUCCCUAUCUGCCGUGGACGUUUGAGAUUUGAGAGGGGCUGCUCCUAGUACGAGAGGACCGGAGUGGACGAACCUCUGGUGUUCCGGUUGUCACGCCAGUGGCAUUGCCGGGUAGCUAUGUUCGGAAGAGAUAACCGCUGAAAGCAUCUAAGCGGGAAACUUGCCUCAAGAUGAGAUCUCACUGGAGCCUUGAGUUCCCUGAAGGGCCGUCGAAGACUACGACGUUGAUAGGUUGGGUGUGUAAGCGCUG